CUAAUAUUUGGCGAUAUCACUUGAAUCUAUAAUAUUUCUGGUUUAUUUCUCUCGGUCCAUUUCCUAUAACAAGAUGGUGUCGUGUCCUUAAUAGCAAUAUGAUGUAGGCAUGGAAAUUCCGCACUUGAUAGCAAUAUGGUGCUUAUUUUGUUUGAAAUGGGAGAAAUGUGAUGAUGGCCAAUGUCUUUUGAGAUGCAUUCAUCUAGAGAUUUUCACAUCAAUGGCCUGUCACAAAUAAUGUGGCAACGACAGGCUCGAAAUCAAUGCACGAUGUUACAAGUAUUAAUGAAAAUGAAGGGUAAACAUGAUGGUUACAUCAUAUGAGAUGGGCAAUUCAUGGUGUAUAAGGUUAGUGAUGGUUUAUGAUAUUCAUGCUUUUGAUUUUUUUCCCUCGGAAUUUAUUUUGCUGUUAAAUUGGGCAGGGAACAUAUGGUAACGUGUACAAAGCUAGAGAUACAUUGACGGGUAAACUUGUUGCGCUGAAAAAGGUUCGUUUUGAAAAACCUGAGAGUGUGAGAUUUAUGGUUAGGGAGAGAUUCAUUUUGCGGCGUUUGGAUCAUCCCAAUGUUGUGAAGUUAAGAAGGUUUGGCUACAUCGAGAAUGCACUGUAGUUUGUACCUGGUCUUUCAGUACAUGGAGCAUGAUUUAGCUGGCCUUGCUGCUAGUCCGGGAAUUAGAUUUACAGAGGAGAGGCUCAGGUCAAAUGUUGCAUGCAUCAAUUACUAUCUGGAGUUGAGCACUGUCACAACCAUGGAGUGCUUCACCGUGACAUUAAAGGAUCAAAUCUUCUUAUUGACAAUAGUGGAAUACUAAAGAUUGCUGACUUUGGGUUGGCUUCUACCUCCGAUCCAAACCAAAACGCACCAUGACUAGGUUGUCACUCUUUGGUAUCGACCUCCUGAACUUCUUGGCUACUGAUUAUGGAGAGGUUGCAUUUUAGCUGAGCUAUUGGCUAGAAAACCAAUUUACUCUCUCGUCUCUCUUUGUUUCUUCAUUUGCAGUAUCAUAUUAUAUAUAUAUAUAGGUCAAUUCUCU